GACGAACGCUGGCGGCGUGCCUAAUACAUGCAAGUCGAACGCAGUGGGGACGGGUGAGUAACACGUGGGUAACCUCCCAUCAGAGGGGAUAACCCUUGGCAACAGGUGCUAAACCGAUACUGAUGGAUGGACCCGCGGUGCAUUAGCUAGUUGGUGGGGUACCGGCUCACCAAGGCCACGAUGCAUAGCCGACCUGAGAGGGUGAUCAGCGACACUGGGACUGAGACACGGCCCAGACUCCUACGGGAGGCAGCAGUGGGGAAUAUUGGACAAUGGGCGCAAGCCUGAUCCAGCCAUGCCGCGUGUCUGAAGAAGGCCUUCGGGUUGUAAAGGACUUUUGUCAGGGAAGCGGUACCUAAAGAAUAAGCACCGCCUAACUACGUGCCAGCAGCCGCGGUAAUUC
rnacentral:rRNA from 1 species